rnacentral:rRNA from 1 species
AGUAAAAGUCGUAACAAGGUUUCCGUAGGUGAACCUGCGGAAGGAUCAUUAACGAUUGCUAUGAAAAAGCAAAAAAACAAAAAUUAAAAAAAAAAAACGCGCUGGAUCAAACGCCAAAACUCCUGACGAGUUCAGGAAGGACGUUGCCCAAAGAUACAUAAAUAUAUAUAAAUAUCUUUCUUUCGCGCAAGCGAAUGCAAAUGAAAUAAACAAGCGGCCAUCGUGGUCGUUGCGCUCUGCGCUGCGAACGAUGUAAAACAAACAACCGAUGGCCUCUCAUACAGUAUAAUAUCUCUCGCCAUGGCGUACAGGCCUGGCAUCUGGUACGAGUCUCUCGCAGUCUCAAAACCAACCUUACAACUCUGAGCGGGGGAUCACUUGGCUUGGGGAUGCUAUGAAGACCAUAGCUAAGUGUGAGAAUGGCAGCGAGCCGUCGCUAUAUGCGCUGUCCUCUUCUUAUCACAUGUCGAAUGCACAUUGCGCCCCACCCAGCGGUCGGCUAAACAACCUGCAGACAAAAGCCUGUGAGUUGGAACAAAGGCUAAUGUGUGGCCCUCGAGCAACGGCGGGGGAGCCAGGAGCACAUGAGCGUGCGGACCAACUACUCGUGAGUAGUCAGGCUUGACCCUAUGGUGGGGCACUCCUAGUCGAGUGUGGUGGAUCGGACUCACACAUCUUCUCUCGCGUUGCGCGUUCGCGCGGGCGCGCGAGACGGAGUUUUGUUGAGUUUCUUUGUUGCUGGUGGCAUUUGGGUCGACAUCAGUCGUGCCCGUAAACAACUGCCUUGGCUCGUGCCUCUGUGCGUGUACCUCUCGAAGGAGCGCACAUUGAAGGCCAUAGCUGGCGAUCACUCUUGCGGCCAGGGCACUGCUUCGGUAGUGCGCACAGGUCCAAAAGGAAUUGUUAAUACGAGAGUCGGGUCUCAAAAUACUCUAGCUAGCCGGCUUCUGCGCAAUCUGUGAAGUGAUGAUCACAUGGUUAUCGAGAGAACUGAUAAAAACCGCUUCGCUUUUCUGGUAAGGCUCCGUCCGAGCCCCACUUUUUUUUUGCAUGCACACGCACGCACGCACACCAGACAGUGCCUCCCCUGACGAGAUCAGGAAGGAUGGUCUGAGAGUGUGUCAUAAGUGACAGAUUGGCCGGCAGUCUUGCAUCACAUCCGUAUGAGGAAUGGUGACCAUGUUGAUUUUUGAGGUCCCUGCAUAUCCGUUGCUCUGGUAAAGGCUCUUCUUUCUCGUAGUAUCCGAGAAUGACACGAUCCUUACCACUUUUGCUCGCGCGCACACACACACACACACACACUCAUGGGAGAUGGACUGAACGCCUGACGAGAUCAGGAAAAAAAAAAUCUGUGUGCGUCAAAAGUAACAGAGUGGCCGGCAGUCUCGCAUCACUAAACACGUUGCACUUUCGUGUAGAAGAAUACGGAUGAGAGAAAGAGAGAGAGAGAGAUCUGGCUUCUUGUUUUAAUUUUAUUUGUUGUAAUUUUGCCACCACCUCGACUUAGGAGAGGUUACCCGCUGAACUUAAGCAUAUCAGUAAGCGGAGGAAAAGAAACCAAUCAGGGAUUCCCUUAGUAGGGGCGACCGAACAGGGAUGAGCCCAGCGCAGAACCUCCCGGGCCACCCGGCCUGCGGCGGAAUGUUGCGUUAAGGGAAAGGUCGUAGUCAAACCCCACAGCCACGCGAGCUCUAAGUAAGUCACGAAUUGGCUAUCCCAACUAACGGCGGGAAAAUCUCCACGGAGGGUGUAAGACCCGUGUGGGCGCGUGCAAAUGCUGUGUGGGCUCGGCCUCUUUUCCCUGAGAGUCGCGUUGCUUGAGCAUGCAGCGCUAAGCAGGUCGUAAACUCGAUCUAAGGCUAAAUAUGUCCACAAGACCGAUAGCGAACAAGUACCGUGAGGGAAAGUUGAAAAGCACUCUGAAGAGAG